rnacentral:lncRNA from 1 species
GCUUGUAGUUGUUGAAGGCAUCGAUGGUUUCUACAUCGCAGGUGCAGUCGUCUAAAUGGCCAGUGACCUGGCAGAAGCAGCGGCGCUCCGCCGAUCCGGGCGACCCGCGAGGCAGGGCGGGCAGCAGAAGGGCGGCGAAGCCCAACGCCCGCAGCAGCGCUCCGCCCGCCGCCAUCUCAGCCGCACCGCUGCCGCCACCGAGGCCUGAAGGAGCCGCGCACCGCCGCGCACCGCCCCGCUCCGCCCCGCCCCGUUCCGGCCCGGGGGUGCGGCCGCCCCGCCGGCUCCGCGCGGCUCUGCACGCAGCCCAGCGCGGGGUCACGCUGUGGUUUUGUCCCACCCCGAGCUGACGGCGGACGUCGUGCUGACUGACCGCGUUAGGGACGGCCCGGCGGUGUUUCCUCACCACCCCCGCAGAUGCCGAACGGGGCAGAGCAGCGGGGCUCCCGGCGCUGAGCGCUCCUCCCCCCCACCCCGGCCUGAACGUUUGGCGACGUGAGCCCGAAAUAAAGCUAAUCAAAUACACGAG